AGGAGUCAAUGUUUGAAAGAUCUUGUGUUGAAAACAUUUGGGAAUAAAAGUAAAGGAACUGAACAAAGUUUAGUUGUUACUAAAUAAUAUUUUAAAGGGGACAACAAAUCCAGUUAAUCAGCAAUCUAAAACUGUGCAUUGAGCCUUUAAAAAGCAUAAAACAUUACCUUUUGGUUUUCAUCUGUCCCAGGAGACCUGAUACAGGCCAUUCUAAUCUCUAUUUCAUCCCUGAUCUCAAAAGACCUGUUUACCCUCCCGUUCGGCCCGGACAUGAAUAUGAUAAUGAGCUGCUUGCUGAUUGGUUGGCUCCCCAGAAGCCUGAGUCAGGCCAACCUAGACACUCAAGUUACAGCAGCCGCGUUUAGCGUUAGCAGCAGCUAGUAGCAGCUAGUAUCUUCCAGCAGGUCAUGCUGUUAAAGAUACGGAUUAAUUUUUCAUUAUUCAAGCUAAUAUGUUUGAACCCGACUUAAAAUAAAGUUUAGAUGUUGAAGACCAACCAGCCGUUCACCAGGGACUGGGAAUGACUGUGUCAGAUGGGUUUUCCUGCGAUAAAUGGGAACUCAUGUCAAUGGAGAGGGAGAACAGUUGUUGUCGAGAAGACCACACAGCCACAGACUCUGAUUUCUGCAACACGGCCUACGCUAGCUGUGUGCCACUUGUCACCGCCCAGCUUACCCCUAGGGCUGGCACCUGUAACAAUUGGGGGCUCGUCCAGGAUCCUUUGGAGUAAAGUCACAGCCGGGUGAGGAGUGGAAGUACAGCGUUUGAGAUGUCCAGAACUUCAGGGAAGGCUACAUCAGUGUGUCAUCCAGGGAGUAUCUACCACCAUUGAACAUCAUGGCCACUAAUGCACCACGGCAGGCGCUGAUCGUUAAGAUCCAGAGACAGCUUUCUAAUUUGAGUACAAGUCAGCUACAAACCAUUGUCCUCUCUAUUGAUGACGGCACUGCAAAGGCCAGUGUUGAAGAGCUAAGUGACAUUGACCUGUAUGAGCUGAUCAUCGACUACUUAGAAGUGACAAGUUGAAGGCCAUGGAAGAUGAAGUUUUGUCCCAUAUACUCCUCCUAGAUGACUUGAUCACUAACUUACUGACAUCUACAGAUGCCGAAGAAACUGGAGUUGAGGUUCCAGUCCAUGUCCAGGAGGUCGACCCAACUACUAUUCCCCUUCUUUUUACCUCAGAACUGGCCCUUCCCCCACACAUUCUGUCACACACCCCAGAGACAUUCUACACCCCUUUUCACUUCAUCCUGAAGACCAUCCCCAUCGCCCAUUACCGUUCUCAUCCUCCAGAGAGGACAGAGGCAUCAGUCCAUCACAGAAGAGUCUCACCGCUCCACCACAACCCAUGGAAACUAUUGCUCCUCUACUUGGCAUGGUUAGUCCGUCCUCUAUCUCUAGAAAUCUGGUAUUGAUUCUUAGUGAUGUAGAAAGUCUGCUACCACACAGAGAGUCAGUGGUGGACAAAUAUCAGAUACUGGUUCAGACGUUUCUUAUGGUAACAUGUGUAAGCAAAUUGAUGAAGGGUUACAAGAAGGGUUUUCUGAGUCUGAAGUUAUCAGAAGUGUACUCAAAAUCACAAAACCAGGCACAUUCAGAGGCAUGUUAACUAACAAGAGCCAUUUAAAUGUUGAUGAACUUUAGAGAUUUCUUUGCUCUCCUAUUCGUGACAAAAACAGUAAUGAGAUUUUUCAAGAGCUAGCCAGUGCUAAACAGUCUGAAAAAGAAAGUCCACAACAGUUCAUGUACAGAAUAAUGGGCUUAAAGCAGUGUAUUAUUUUCGAGUCACAACAAGUUGUUACUGGUUUUCACUGUGAUGUGAAACUCGUACAAUGUACUUUUCUCCAUAUGCUCUAUCAAGGGUUAAAUGAAAAAAUGACUAUGUGAGACGUGACUUCAAACCUCACCUUAAUGACAUGCAAGUUAGUGACAACUUCUUACUUGAACAAAUCAGUGUCAACUAGUGAAGAAGCCCAAAGACAGAAAAGACUGGGUACAACUAUUAAGACUAAGACAGUAAGCGUUGCGACUCUUGACAGUGGUGGCAGGACUAAAGACAGUAAGACUGACAAAGAACGACAGACUCAACAAGAUGCUAUUAGGGAACUGACAGCACAGGUGUCCUCACUGACUAGACAUCUUGCCCAAAUGACCAGGCCACCUGACAACGCCUUAUCUGUUGACUCUAGUCCUCAAAGACAUGGUUCACUGGUAACAGCAGAAAACCAAAGCAGAUCUUGUGUACACCAAAAUAAAACUUCCUGUCAACAUUGUUUUGUGUGUGGCCAAACAGGACACACGGCCAUAGGCUGUUUACAACCGAAGGUGUCGGGAAACACGAAGAGGUUGCUGGAGAGGGGCAGCCAGUGACUAGGACAGCCCAUGCGCCCCAUCAAAGAGUCGACCAAAACCUGCAAAGUCAAAGACAACUCAGCCUCCACCACGAAAGAAACUUGCACUACUCAUAGGUAAAAGAUGCAUGGUUUCAUGUGCUCUCAAUGGAGCUUCAGUUCAAAUGCUACUUGAUUCAGGAGCCUAGGUGGCAAUGGCGGGGAAAACCUGGAUGAAAGAGACAUUACCUAAUGUUCCCAUUCAACCACUUGAAUCCCUCCUGUCAGACAAACCACUUAAUCUCUGCUGCAAACGGCACAAAUGUCCCUUUUGGAGGAUGGGCAGACACAGAACUCCAAAUACUAAGUAAAAAUUAUGGACAUGUCACUAUCCAAGUUCCCAUUCUCAUCACCCAGGAGUGUCUUAAUCACCCCAUUUUAGGCAGUAAUGUUAUUGCUGAGACAAUCAAAGCCAUCAAAGACACUGACCCUGAUAUCACAGGUCUACUCAGAGAAGCUUUAAGUGUUGAUGACGGUGUAGCCAAAGCCUUGGUGUCUAUGCUUGACAUUUUGACACUAGCUGACAACUAUGUGGAGUGUAAUGUUAAGACAGGUAAAAAGGGCGUCAUGGUACAUGCAGGUUAGAUUGGUGAAGUUCGCUGCAUAGUGAGAGGCUCUCCAGUGGACGGUGCAACGCUCUUUCAGCCCAGUGUACUGCACAAUUGUCCUGAUAGUUUAGAGUUGUUCCAUGCGUUCAUGGAUGUUCCUAGCGGGUUUACAAUGACUGUCAAAAUUCCUGUAUAGAAUACCACAAAGCAUGACAUUUACCAUCCAUAGAGAAUUACUCUUGGUACACUCAAAGAAGCUACUGAGAUAAAGCCAGACCCAAAGUCCCAACCGUGUGUGAAUGCACAUUCUGCCAAUGUAAGACCAAACCACAAAAAUUGUGACAAAUGGCAAACAAAACAUACAAGUGAAGGAUGGCAUCCACCAGUCAAUUUGUCUUACCUUGGAGAAGAUGAGCAAAGCAUUGUAAGAUACAUGUUGUUUGAUAAAUCUGAUGUUUUCGCCAAAACAGACUCAGACAUUGGCCGUAUUCCAAGUUUGCAACUCAAAAUUAACCUCACAGACAACGUAUCAGUCCAAACAUCUUACAAUUCAAUCCCCAAACCUUUGUACAAAGAGGUGAAAGUCUAUGUCCACAAGCUGCUUGACCAUGGCUGGGUUAGAAGUCCACAUCACCGUACUCCUCACCAGUGGUGUGUGUUAGAAAAAAGGACGUCUUUAUGCGUGUGUGUCAAUUUUAGAGGAUUAAACCGCAAAACAACCCCUGACUGUCAUCCACUCCCACACAUUCAAGACUUGCUGGAUAACUAAGGGGGAUACUCAAGGUUCUCAAUACUAAACCAAGGCAGUGCUUAUCACCAAGGAUUCAUGGAGGAAAACUUCAAACAUCUCACCACUUUUAGCACUCCCUGGGGUUAUAUGGGUGGAACCAUCUCCCACUUGGCCUUACCAAUGCCCCAGCAGUGUUUCAAAGAUGCAUGGAAGGAGUUCUUGAGGGGUUAAGGGAUGAGUGUUGUUCUCCUUACUUAGAUGAUGUGUUCAUUACUCUAAGACUUUUUCUGACCAUGUAAAUGACCUCAGACAUGUUUUACACAGACUUAGAGAACAUGGUGUUAAGUUACGCCCUAAGAAGUGCGAACUGUUUAAAAGGCAUAUCAGGUACUUUGGUCGUCUUGUGACUAACAAAGGUGUCCAGAUAGACCCCAAAGACCUAGAAGUGGUUUACCAGCUUAGAGACCGAGAACCAAAGACUGUGGGAGAAGUGAGAGCCCUCCUCGAGUUCCUAGGUCACUACCGGACAUUUAUUCAGGACUUUUCCAGGUUAGCCAAACCGCUGUUUAAGCUACUUGAGAGUCCCUGUGAGUUAGAUUGCAAACCCAAACAAGUCAGAUCAAACAAGACAAAACAAAACAGUAACACUAGUGGUCAACUUCCCUCAAAGACACCAGUCAAAUGGACUCAAGAACACAGCACAGUAGUGUCACGCUUUGUCCAUAUGCUGACAAGUCCACCUAUUCUCGCAUAUCCAGACUUUGAUUUGCCCUUUUUCCUUCAUACCGAUGCUUCGAGCGAAGGCCUGGAAGCCGUACUUCACCAGCAACAGGGGAGCAACUUAUGUGUCAUAGCAUAUGGUUCCAGAACUCUUACGCCAGCAGAAAAAAACCCAUCACAUUCAUUGUAGCAAGCUUGAGUUUCUCACGUUAAAGUGGGCAAUCUGUGAUAAAUGUAGGGAUUACCUUUAUUACGCUCCCAUUUUCACAGUGUACACAGAUAAUAAUGCCCUCACGUAAGUUUUGAGCAUGGCCAAAUUAAACGUGGUGGGCAUCGGUGGGUGGGUGAGUUAGCGGACUUUCAUUUUUCCAUCAAGUAUCGUCCUGGCAAAUCAAACGCAGACGCUGACACACUGUCCAGAUAUCCCAUCAAACUGCCAGAUCACUUGUCCGAAUAUAAAGAAACCAUGCCCCCAAUGGUCCUAUCUGCAAUUUGGCAAGGGUACAAAGCCAUGAGAGAGAGUGAAGUACCUUGGGUUGCUGCACUAGUGUUCAACUCAAAUGCAAGUGACACACCCCAAGAAGGAACCCCGAUGCUCUCUCCCGAAGACAUCAAAACAGCUCAAAGACAGUAUGUUUCAAUCACAGAGGUGAUACACCUAAAACAAAGAGGAUGGAGUCCUAAUGAAAAAGACAAGAAACAAAUGGCACGUGAAACAAAGAGACUUGUACACGAAUGGAAUAAACGAAAGCUUGACAAAGGACUGCUCUACCGAUGUGCUGGGCAAAGAAAACAGUUCUUCCCACUAAACUGACAAAGACUGUUUAAAAACAUUUGCAUGAUGACAUGGGACAUGUAGGCGCUGACAAAGUCAUUCACUUAGUGAGAGAAUGCUUCUUUUGGCCCUUCAUGCAGUGGGACAUUGAAGAUUAUGUCAUUCGUCAGUGCACAUGUAAUUAACAGAAACGACCAUGUAUACUGGAUAAAGCACCUUUGGGGUCAGUCACCACAAGUACAGCAUUUGAACCCAUAUCAGUUGACUACCUCCAUCUUGAUCCGAGUAAAGGUGGUUAUGAAUAUAUUUUAGUCCUGGUAGAUCAUUUCACACGUUUUGCGCAAGCCUACCCGAGUAAGAAUGAGUCUGGUAAAACUGCUGCUGAAAAGAUCUUCUUUGACUUUAUCCCUAGAUUUGGAUACCCUGAGAAACUCCACCAUGAUCAGGGCCAGGAGUUUGAAAACAGCCUGUUCCAAAGACUCCAACAACUUGCAUGAAUAGCCCAUUCCCGAACAACUCCCUACCACCCUCAAGGGAAUCCUGUUGAGCAGCUAAACAGAACACUACUACAAAUGUUACGCACACUACAUGAAGAAAAGAAAGCAGAGUGGAAAGACCAUCUACCACACAUUCUUCACACAUGUAACUGUACCAGACAUGGAAGCAACUGCGUACUCAUCAUUUUUCCUGCUUUAUGGUAUAGCACCUAGAUUGCCAGUAGACCUAAUCUUUGACAUAAAACCUGAUAGCGAGUGGAAAACAAGAAAAGAGUAUGCAGAAAAAUGGGCAACUCAUAUGCAAGAGGCAUACAAAAUCGCUCCUGAAAACAGCAACAAAAGCUCUGCAAAAGGGAAAAAGCAUUAUGACCAUCAUACAAAAGGCAUCCCUUUACACCAGGAGACCGUGUACUAGUCAGAAAUCUUUCAGAACGUAGAGGUCCCAGUAAACUAAGAGCUUUUUGGGAAAAAUGCAUUCAUUUAGUUGUUGAAAGGAUAGGAGAUGGACCUGUAUAGCGCAUUCAAGCUGAAAUCGGAGAACGUAAUCUUGGAGUCUUGCACAGAAACCUCCUAUUGCUGGUCAAUGAUUUGCCACUGAAACAGGGACAAAGUCAAAAUGUAAACCGGAAAAGACAAAAUCACAAGAAAAAACAAGGGAAAAUUCAAGAAGCUGCUUUGCAAGGGUCAGAACAGUCUGAUGAAGAAGAGGAAUACACUUAUCACUGGCAACGCGUACCUGUGUACAAUAUGAGACCAAGACCUCCAUCUCAAUCACACCCUCAACUCAGAGCUGCAGCCCCUGAAUUUCAACCUGUAACCCAAAGUAUUCAAAACUAUCUAACACACAGGAGCAAUGGACACAACCACAAGUUAAACUACAACGUUCAAAAGUACCAACCCUAGCUAUUGCUCUGACUUCAGCAUGACAAACAGUGCCUACUGUCACAAAACCAGCUGAGAUACCCAUACCGGAUGCAAAUGAUGCUAUGGAAAAUGUGCAUCAAACUGUUCCUAUUGAGGAUAGUGAAAUGGAAAAUAGUGUAUCAGAUGCACAAGUUUGUGACAAUUGGCCUGAAACAACCACACCAGAAGAGGAUGGUACAACAGUACAAAGAUCAGCGAGAACCGUUAAGCCACGAGAAGUGUUCACCUACAAUCAGUUUGGACAACCUUCUUAACACCCUUGGAAUGCAGGAGCGAAUAGGUUUUUUGCCUGUACACCUUACCCCAUGACUUUGUACCCGACACAACCAUACAUGUCCUAUUACCGUACUCCUGUAUGGACAUGUUAGACUUGUGACAAGACUAAAAACUCUUGACAUUUUUGAAGGACCAUAAAUACUGACUCUGACUGUAUAUUGGCCUGACUAUACUCCUAAGUACAAGAUACCGGAGUCAUCUCUUGAAGCAGGGGAAAGUGUAGUAGACUGUAAAAUGCUAUAUUAUAAGUUUUAUGAAAACAGACACCCUUUCUAUUUUAUUUUUUAUUUUUUUGUAUAACAAAGCUUAUAUGUAUUAUGUAAAGUUAAGGUUGCUGUGGUCAUUCCCACCAGCAGAGGGUGCGGUGGCACCACUGCGGGCACAGAGGGCUUCUGCGCAGGCGCAGCUCAGAAUUAAAUGAGCUAUGGUCUGACAACGUUUUUCCCUCAUCUGUAUGUCUAUAAAAGUUAAAAAUUUGAACUUAAACUUGGUCCUAAUAUGAUGUAAAUGAACGUAUAUCCAGGUAAAACCACUGUAAUGGAACGUUGACUGUUCCUGAAGGUUUGAUGACGAGGUAUUUGUGUGUUUUAUAAUGGGCCUGUACCGCCGCCAUUUGGUAGGGUCGCUUUUGUUUUCGUAGAUAAAUUAGCAGUAUGAAACAGAUGUAUUUGAAGCCAAUAAAGGUAUUUUAAAGUACAACUACGGCUUCUAGCAUUUUCACAGAGGUUUGGGUGUAAUAUAAGCAGAAGUAAGGGUUCAAAUUCAAGUUUUUUGAGAUCGCCACGUUGGGUGUUCUUUUGUUCAGCCCGCCGUUUGGAGGGACAUUUUCAUUGAUUUAGCUCAGCGCUUGUGUGUGUGUGUGUGUGUGUGUGUGUGUGUGUGUGUGUGUGUGUGUGUGUGUGUGUGGUGCUUGCUUACAGCCACAGAUUUUAAGCUAAAGCAUGAUGAAGUUCCCUUCACAGCAUCUAAAAAUAUUACAAUGGAUGUAACAUCACUGGUAUCUGUGAUGAUCAAUGAAACUAGGUAAGUAUGUUUGUUCAUCUCAUCUGUGUCUAAUUGUCGGUAAUCUGAAAACUCCUCCUGUAACAAAUCAACCUCAGGAAAUAGCCAUUUCCCAUAAUCUGAUUGAGACAACUUGAGCUGCCAAGCAGCCACUUGACCGGCUGAUAUCAGCUAAUGGAAGUAAGUAGCUGUUAGUGUCAGAAUGCUGCCACACUUGCCUGAGAUGCUGCUCGCAUUAUAGGGAUGUGGGUGGCUGUGGGUUGUUGAUAACAAGCUUCAGGUGACAAGCUGCCACAUUGUGGAGCUGGAAUAGAGAUCAGUGUGGGUCAGGUACAGUUCUUCUCUACAGGUUUUAACCAAAAGGACACCAUUAAGGUUGACAGCAAUCACUGUCUGAAACCCUGACAAACUGCUUCUUUCUCCUGAACCUUCGACGUGGACUCACUUCACAUGACUCACUUACCUAAAGGAAACUCUUUUUUUCUGUUUAUGGAUACAAAGGGGGAUGCUGAAACUAACAUUAAAAACAUCAAAUACAAAUAAAACUACCUGUAAGAGUUUUUAUCUAAAAUUCAUAAACUGUAAGUUUAUAUAUAUAUAUAUAUAUAUAUAAGUUUAUAUAUAUAUAGUUUUCUUUUGCAAACCCAAGAUGCGCUCACGUCCACCUGGUUUUAAAACAAGAUAGCAUUUAAUCCCUUACACUAACAGCUAAAUCUUCUGCUGAUCAAAUCAAUAAAAUCAAAGAUACUUUAUUAAUCCCUUCUCAUAUCUGCUAUGGGGGAUACCGCAGGGUUCAGUACUGGGACCCUUGCUGUUUUAAAUUCAUAUUCUCCCAUUGGGUGACAUUUUACGAAAGUUUGGAAUUGGAUUCCAUCUCUAUGCCGACGACUGCCAAUUGUACUUGCCUCUAGAUGGCGCCGGUGAUCACACAAUACAUUUUUUUUUUUAUUGUUUGGCAGAAAUUAAGAUAUGGUUGGCAGAAAACUUCCUGUGUCUUAAUGGGGAAAAAACAGGCAUUGUUGUUUGGUCCGAGUGGACAUGUAGAUUUUUCAAACGUAGACUGCGGUGAAUUGAACUCAUAUUUGGAUGUUUCAGCAGUCAACCUUGGCGUGAAGCUGGACAGUGCAUUCUGCAUGGAUGCUCAUGUGGGUACUGUACGUAUUCUCUUCAUUUUAUCAUUUAAGACGUUUGGCUAAAGUAAAGCCGUUUUUAUCUAGACGUGACCUUGAGACUGUUGUUCAUGCUUUUAUUACCUCACGACUCGACUAUUGUAAUUCCGUUUUAUUUGGUGUAAGUAAGGGUACUGUAAACCGGCUGCAGCUUGUCCAGAAUGCUGCAGCAAGACUCUUGUUCAACAAAAGGAAGCAUGAACAUGUGACACCAAUUUUGGCUGCUCUCCACUGGUUGCCUGUUGAUUUUAGAAUUCGUUUUAAACUUCUUUUAAUGGUGUUUAAGGCGCUGAACGGUGUGGCUCCGACCUAUUUGACGGAGUUGCUGCAGCCAUAUGUUCCGGCCCGGCCACUCCGCUCUGAGAACCAGCUGCUACUUGUGGCUCCUAAGGCCAGGUUGAAGUUGAGAGGGGACAGGGUGUUCUCUGUUGCGGGUCCGAAACUGUGGAACGCACUGCCCCUAACCAUUAGGGGCUCUCCAUCAGUAGCAGUUUUUAAAAUGAGGCUGAAAACCUACUUUUAUGAUCUGGCUUUUAAUUCUGUGGGUUAGAAAUAGCUAAUGUUUAUAUUUUGUAAUUCUUAUUUGUGGUUUUAAUUAUGUCUGUGGCGCUAUAUGUUUUAUUGUUUUAUUCUUUUGUUGUACAGCACCUAGGUGGCAUGCUCAUGCCUGUAAGGUGUUUUUUAAAUAAAGACUGAUUGAUUGAUUGAUCCCAGAGGGAAAUUAGAGUUUCAGUACACACGAUUGAGAGAUCAGACAUACAUGGGCAAGACACAUGACAAGAAUUGGUGACUGUGGUCAUUCACAACCCUGAGUCGCGCCACCUUAAUAGAGAUAAGAGGGUUACAUGAGGGUUGGUUCAGGUGGAGGGAAAAAAGGCACUUCAAAGUUACCCUCCCACCAGGAGGGCAGCUUUGCUCUGCAAAAAAACACCUCAGACAUAUAUGCAACAGACUUCAGACAACACAACCUAAGUGUCCACUAGGAGGGGUGGUGGGUUGGGACUAUCCCAACUUCAGUUCCUGCAGCCACGAUUAGCAGCACAUGUCACCUCAGUGUGGAUAGGGGGAGGAGCAUUGAGGGCUGGAGGGUUGCAGUGACCCUGGACGCUUCGGCGGCCUUCCCGCUUUUCUGCCCAGGCUGGGAAAGGAGACAGAGUUGAGUUGCCAUAGAGACGGCACAUUCCACAUAUCUUCUGAGGGGGGAGUUUUCGUUGGAGCCCUGCAGGCUCAAGGACGACAGAUUCUGAUUAGAAAUUGUUUUGGGGCCAGACAGAGAUAAUUUCCUCUCUGUCUUACAGUUUGUUGGUCCUCAACCUCUCAAAAUCCCAAUAAUGGACAUUAAACUAUCCCAAUCCGUGCUGAUUCGUCCACUCUCUCCUUGAUGGCAUCCAUCUUUUGUGCCAAAGAAUAAAUCUCCGCUAAAGUUCCAAUGUUACGAUUCAUCUCGACAAUUAUUUGAGUCUGUGAAUUCACAGCGCGGUGCUGUAGUGUGACUGCAAGGCUAGUUUGGAGCUGAGGUGACUAGAGCGAGAGUUCAGCUGUUGUGUGUUGUUUGACCCAAGUGUGGAGUGACUGACACUGAGCAAGACUCACGCAGUUUGAUAAAGAAGCUGAUACGCACAGCUCGUAAGAAGACGAGCGCCCAGCAGUUCCAGAAUAAGAACAGCCAGACCUACAGGAAGUCGGUAAGCUUGGUAAUGUGGGCUGGUCUGGUCUGAGAACUCUGGGCACAUAUCUGUGGGAAUGAUGACUGAGUGAGGUAGGUAGGGAAAGCACUUUCUUUUGUAGAGUUGGUGGGAGAUGUAAACAGGGUGUCCAGUGAUGAGAGUGGAUGAUCUGGUGUUGGGGAUGCUGGGUAAUGGAGUUCUAGUGGUGGGAAUGGCUGGAUUGGCUUGAGGAAGUGCCUUGUGAGAAGGAGGACAUGACAGGACCCCCUUACUGAGGGACAUCUCCUGAAAUACCAGGGCAAUGUGAUCUGCAUGUGAUAAGGGACAGGUUUGGGGCAGACCACAUAAGUUCCCAGGAGCAUUCUUUCGGGUCAUAACCCGCCCAGUCCAAAAAGUGGCUCCCCUGGCCUCGACGGCAGGUGUCCAGUAUGCAAAACACAGUGCAGACCAGGUCGCUGACCAGGUCAUCGGGGUUCUGGGUCCGGUUGGGUCAUAUCGGAGCUAAUCCGAUAAGACAGGUCAUAUCGGAGCUAAUCUAUGGGUUCCUGGUAGCUCGAGGUCCAUGUCCAUCCUGACAUCGUGAUCACCUGGAUCUGAACAGGGAUCUCCACAAAAAGGGUAUCAUAGACUCAACAGAUUGUGUCGGAUGGUUUAAUAAACAAAUCUCCAGUUUACAAACAUACAGCCAAAUUUUUUUACAACCCAGACUUCACAAACUCUCUCAGAUACUUAAGAAAGGUUUUGCUAAAACAUCAAGCUUCCAGUUCAGCAUUCCGCACCUCACAAUGAAUCACUUCAUAUCCAUUACAUUACACAUCAUUAUUCACACCGUGUCAUGCACAAUCAUUAGUCUAGGGAAAUAUAAAUAAAUUAAUUUUCAUUAAUUAAACUCGACUCUGAAUUCAUGUGAUGUGUGUUUAUGGUCCCUGAAUGUAAAAGCAACUAAAAUAUUCUGAUUAAAUGUUCAAAGAUCAAUCAAGUUGAUAUUUCAUUUUUAUAUGGAAUUAUCACAUCUUAUUGGUCAUUUGUUACAUAUGUAGCCACUCCUUAAUGCUACACAGGUCUCUCUUACUUUGCAUUUAUAAAUAUAGCAAUUAUAGCUGCAAAAUUACAGGUAGGGAACGAUCUUUAGAAGCUGUUAAAUGUAAUUGUUUAGCUUACUCACCUCAAAUAGGGCCCAAAAUCUCUGUUUUGGUGAAGCAGCAGUGAAUGCAAUCAGGCUAAUUACUGGAAUGGCUUUGACUAAUUUGUGAAACGCUCUUCAAACCCAGCAUAACCUAGUUCAAAGUACAUCACGUUGGUGAAAGAUUCGCAUGUAAAAGCACUAAACUGCAACGUCUAGCAGCCAAGUGUACCGAUACAUAUAGUUUUAUAUCUAUAUUUAUCAAAUGUGGUGUAGACUUAGCUUGUCUUUGUCAUUUACAAUUUUAUAUUAAAUAACUCGGGGCACCACCCAGUUUUGUCUGUGUGAACUGGGACACUGGAUUUAAUAUUUAUAUCUUCUCAAUGUAAUCAGUCUCAAAGUUAACACCACAUUUUAAUCUGAAAGCUGAGUUCUUGUCAGAAUGUGCCGGCUAUUCUCGAGAUCGCUAGGUAUUGAUCAGGCAUGAUUUAAGUUUUGUGAAUUUAUUACAAACAUCAGUUGUGACACUUGACAAAGAGAACCAAACACAGCUUAUUGUUUCAGGCAUGAGAAUAAGUAAGUGGAUAAACACAAAGCUUUAUGGCAGUGCUAUGAAAUAACUAGCCUGUAAUAAAAGUGAAAAUUUGGUGACACAUAGGAUUUUAUAUUAGGAAUAACUUCUGUAGGGAGAACAAGUGAGCGUGUGUGUGUGUGUGUGUGUGUGUGUGUGUGUGUGUGUGUGUGUGUGUGUGUGUGUGUGUGUGUGUGUGUGUGUGUGUGUGUGUGUGUGUGUGUGUGUGCAUCGCUAUGGGUAUAGGAAUACGGGAGGGUGUGUGUGUGUGUGUGUGUGUGUGUGUGUGUGUGUGUGUGUGUGUGUGUGAAUAAGGAUUCGUGUGCGGCAGAGAAAGACGAUAAAUCUUGAGAGCUAAACGUGAAUGUGGGAUAGAAAUAAACAAGCCAUAAAAGAAAUGGACUAAUCUGAAUUCACGAAUCGAGCUUAGCACAAAAGUCAGCCAGAUUAGAUGUUUCACAGACCUGCUUUUCAUCGCCGGGAGGGUGGCCAGCGGCUCCAACAGCCUUGGGUUCCUGGCUCGUGGCCUUUUUGGAUUAAAUGUUACUGGCUCCCUGUCGGUCUUGAAAGGAGAGGAUGAGGUAAUCGUCCAUCGUGGCUUGACUUUUCGGUUCCUUCACCUCUGCGGCCUCGAAACAUGGAAUUUGGAUCACGGGCCCAAAUUAUUCCAAACCAGAGCUGAAUAAUCAAACUGUGUUCCAAACUGCUUUUACUCUUAAUGUUUCAACGAACAUGCAGACUUCCAAUUUCACGUAGGAAGUCAAAACAAAACAGAGUUUCUUCUAAGUGUAUGCUAUAAAUUUUGAGAGCGACGCUUUGUUAGGCCAAGAAAGAAAAGCCAUGCAGAGAUUUGCUUAAGGCGUCUUUGAUUCUCAAAAUGCCGCCACGAGGUUCGGAUGGGUAUAUAACCUUUAGGGCACGCCCACCUGUAUCUCGCUCAAAAACCACUGGAGGGCACUGUGGCUCUUCCAAAUAAAUUACCUUCUCCAAGAUGAAAUUCCAUUAUCACAAUUUAACACAGUUAUUCAUAUAAAGCCUCAAAAAGUAUUACUUUAGCAUCAAAGUAUUACUUUAAACAGGAAAGAAUGAAAUUCAUGUCUUAAAACUGGACAGUUUUACCAUUAGCAUGAAUUUUAACUGGAGAAACACCAAAUGACAGAGAUUUUACAUGAAAGAAAACACAAAACAGUUUAGGUAUGUGGCGGAUAAGAUUCUAAUUUAGAGCACCUUGAUUUCUAUUUUCAGGGUAAACAACCUAAACACCUUCUUUGAUUGUAGAUAAACAGGAAUGCAAGGUUUAUAAAGACUCAGGUCUUGAAGCUCCCAGGAGGACCGAAAAUAAAUUUUCACGACUUCCCCUAUCUUGAGAAAAGGGUCAGUCUGAGGUUGAUGUAAAACAGCCCAGUCUUCCGAUAUUACUUGCGCCUCCUGAUUGGCGCAGAAGGGAGGCACAGAAGGGAGGCCAGUCAAAUUGGUGCAAUUUACGAUCCUGGAUCCUUCUUCCGGCUCUUGGAAAGUACAGACGCUUUUUUCCUCCUCUCCUCCCUAUCUUAUCCCCAAGGCUCUUUGUCUGUCUUUGGGUGCACGGCUGCUUCUGCAUUUUUUCUGGAAACUGGGAAUUAUUAGGCCCGAGCAGCGAAGCGCUGCGAAGGCCUAUUGUAUCUGCUCCGUUUCUUUUUUAGGCCCGAGCAGCGAAAGCGCUGCGAAGGCCUCUUGUUUUUGCUCUGUUUAUUAGGCCCGAGCAGUGAAGCUGCGAAGGCCUAUUGUAUCUGCUCCGUUUAUUCUUUCUUUCUUUCUUUCUUUCUUUUUUCUUCCGCGUCUUUGAAUGGCCUUUAGGGGGUCUUAGCAUAUUCAAAAAGUCACCAAAUUCUGGCUCAAUAUAGAAAGUGCGUGAAAUUUACGUAUUUCACUGGCGAUGUGAAAGUUCGUAAAAAAGUGGCUGGACAGCGCCCCCUAGAAAGUGAAAAAUACCCCUCUCCAUAAAGCUUAGUUUAUCGUACGGUUAUGAAAUUUGGUAUACUUGUAGUACUCCACAGUCCGCACAGAAAAGUCACUUGCAACCAUGGUCAAUAUCAAACAGGAAGUCGGCCAUUUUGGGUUGAAAUGGCGAAUUUUAGCCAUUUUGGCCAUUUCUAGGGUCUAUAUUUGGUUGAACAGUUUGGUCAUUUUUCGCACGAUCGUCUCAAAAAUAGUGUGCAAUCGAACAGAAGCGAUGGACGAUUCAAAUGAGAAAAUAAAAUUGACUUUUCGUAAAUACUGAAGGGGCGGGGCCAGGCCUCAAAGUUCGAGCACUCGCCAAAAAAAUUCAAAUUGCUAUAAUUUCAUAAAUGAAAGAAUUACAGUUAAAGUAACUUUCUGUGGACAAUCGUCAUCGCCCCCCGAAGACAAAUGAAUGGUCGAUUGAUGAUGUCACAUAAGCCCCGCCCCCUCAGGACUUAAAAGGUCAAGUUUUACUGGGAAAUUUUCUAAAAUUCGCCCUUUCAAAUAAUCAUCCCAAAUUUGUACCAGUUAACUGAAGACAAGUUGGGGUUGCUUGGCGUCACUUUAUGGGAGUUUUCUGCAGAAGGCGGGGCUGUGGCGGCACGGCGAAGUCAGGCGUACCACUUAGGCCUUACGUUUGCCUCCCAUUUCGUCAUUUCUAAAGAUAUCGCCACGAAACUUCUUGGGAGUGAUCCUAGUCCUGCCCCCCAAAAAAUGUGAUGUGAAAAUCCGGUGGGCGUGGCCUAUUUUCUGAAAUAGCGCCCCCUAGGAGCAUUAAAACUGUCAGCCCCAAGCCAUGCUUUGACUGAGGAUUACGAAAUUUGGUACACUAAUGUGGUGUCUCAGGACCUACAAAAAAGUCUCUUGGAGCCAAGAACCAAGUCGCACAGGAAGUCGGCCAUUUUGGUCCAAGUACUCGAUUUAGUGGUUUUCGCACACGUUGUUUGGAGAGUGUUGCACCAUCGCCCUUUUCACCAAUCACCUUCAAACUUCUGCUAUAGACUCUUAAGACAAAGGGGAAAAAAUUCAACCUACGGAUUUUAAAUAAGUAUAAAGGUGUGGGCGUGGCUAAGCCUCAAACUUUGACCUGUCGCCACGCCACUCUUUUUUUUCACCGCUCCCUAUUGGACUCCUUUUAACCAAUCACCACCAUUCACUGGCAAAUAGCAGCAGACAAGUUGAGGUCACUUGGUCUAUAGUACUGGCAGGUUUCGAAUAAAGGCGGGGCUUUGGGAUCAUGGCGAAAUUCACCAUCACGCCAUGGAAAUACGUUUGUGUCUCAUUUCUUCAAUCAUUGUGACAUCACCACACAAUUUCUGAUGAGUGAUCUUACUCUGACCCCUAAUAGAAUUGGACAGCUGAAGUUUGUGGGCGUGGCCUAUUUUCUGAAAUAGCGCCCCCUAGGACCAUUAAAACUAUCAGCCCCAAGCCAUGCUUUGACUGAGGAUCACGAAAUUUGGCACACUAAUGUAGUGUCUCAGGACCUACAAAAAAGUCUCUUGGAGCCAAGUACAAUGUCGCACAGGAGGUCGGCCAUUUUGGUCCAAGUACUCGAUUUAGUGGUUUUUGCACACGUUAUUAGGAGAAUGAUGUCUCGUCGUCCUUUCCACCGAUCACCUUCAAACUCCUUCUAUAUACUCUUAAGACAUAGAGGAAAAAAUUCAACCGUCGGAUUUUAAAUAAGUAUAAAGGUGUGGGCGUGGCUAAGCCUCAAACUUUGACCAGUCGCCAUUACGUUACAUGACUUAAUAACUCCCAUGUGCAUGAUCAGAUCAAUGUCAAACUUUGUCUGUGUGAUCACUGACCACAUGUGAAGACAGUGACAAUGUGGACAGCUGACAUCAUCUAAGCCCCGCCCCCUGACUACAGGAAGUCUACUGUUUUAUGGUGAAAUGCCCAUAUUUGUCCCCUCUAAUUAAGUCAACAUGACACUAAGGUCAUGCACUGUCUUCAUGAUGUUGUAAUGACCAUUCAGAUCUGAUAGCUUUUCAGAAAGGGAGGGGCUUUGAUGCCAUGGCGAUUUCUGGCGUGACGCUGUGACCUUACGUUUGACUGUAACUUCCACAAACAGCCUCCGAUUUGCCCGAGACUGAACAUCACAUCACCAGUGUGGUAAAGAUAGAGUAUCUCCUAGUGGUGAGACGUGUAAUGGUGGGCUCAGAGGGGAUGCUGAGUCAGGGUGAGGUGUGGACGAGGAGGCCGUUCACGGUUUCUGGUGUCGGGGUGGUUGACUUUCUGUUCUGCCAGACGUGCCCUGGUGCCCCCGGCUGCCGGCCAGGACGGAGAAGCGCGGAGCUGGGUUUGGAGAGCGUAGGGGAUGGAGCGGAGGGGGUGCGGAAGGAGGGCGAGCAGCUUCGCUGCGAGGGCCGAACGACGCUGCUUGCAGCUUUAAUUAUUAUUACGCUUUCUUUUUUCUUCCGCGUCUUUGGGUGGCCUUUAGGGGGUCUUAGCAUAUCCAAAAAGUCACCAAAUUCUGGCCCAAUAUAGAAAGUGCGUGAAAUUUACGUAUUUCACUGGCGAUGUGAAAGUUGAUAAAAAAGUGGCUCGACAGCGCCCCCUAAAGAGUGAAAAAUACCCCUCUCCAUAAAGCUUAGUUUAUCGUACAGUUAUGAAAUUUGGUAUACUGGUACUACUCAACAGUCCGCACAAAAAAGCCUCUUGCAACCAUGGUCAAUAUAAAACAGGAAGUCGGCCAUUUUGGGUUGAAAUGGCGAUUUUUAGCCGUUUUGGCCAUUUCUAGGGUCUAUAUUUGGUUGAACAGUUUCGUCAUUUUUCGUACCAUAGUCUCAAAAAUAGUGUGCCAUCGAACAGAAGCGAUGGACGCUUCAAAUGAGAAAAUAAAAUUGACUUUUCGUAAAUACUGAAGGGGCGGGGCCAGGCCUCAAAGUUCGAGCACUCGCCAAAAAAAUUCAAAUUGCUAUAAUUUCACAAAUGAAAGAAUUACAGUUAAAGUAACUUUCUAUGGAUAAUCGUCAUCGCCCCCCGAAGACAAAUGAAUGGUCGCUGGAUGAUGUCACACAAGCCCCGCCCCCUCAGGACUUAAAACGUCAAGUUUUACUGGGAAAUUUUCCAAAAUUCGCCCUGUCGAAUAAUCAGCCCGAAUUUGUAGCAGGUAACUGAAGAGAAGUUGGCGUUGCUUGACGUCACUUUAUGGGUGUUUUCUGCAGAAGGCGGGGCUGUGGCGACGCGGCGAAGUCAGGCGUACCGCCGUGACCAUACAUGUGCCUCCCAUGUCGUCAUUUCUAUAGAUACAGUCACGAAACGUCUUGUGAGUGAUCCUAGUCCGGCCCCCCAAAAGAUCUCAUGUGAACAUCAAAUGGGCGUGGCCUAUUUUCUGAAAUAGCGCCCCCUAGGUCCAUUAAAACUGUCAGCCCCAAGCCAUGCUUUGACUGAGGAGUACGAAAUUUGGUACACUAAUGUGGGGUCUCAGGACCUACAAAAAAGUCUCUUUGAGCCAAGUGCAAAGUCGCACAGGAAGUCGGCCAUUUUGGUCCAAUUACUCGAUUUAGUGGUUUUCACACACGUUAUUAGGAGAAUGAUGUCUCGUCGUCCUUUCCACCUAUCACCUUCAAACUCCUGCUAUAUAAUCUUAAGACAUAGAGGAAAAAAUUCAACCGUCGGAUUUUAUACAAGUAUAAAGGUGUGGGCGUGGCUAAGCCUCAAACUUUGACCUUUCGCCAUUACAUUACUUGACUUAACAACUCCCAUGUGCAUGAUCAGAUCUAUAUCAAACUCCGUCUGUGUGAUCAUUGACCACAUCUCAAGACAAUGACAAUGUGGACAGCUGACAUCACCUAUGCCCCGCCCCCUGACUACAGGAAGUCUAUUUUUUAAUGGUGAAAUGCCCAUAUUUGUCCCCUCUACUUUAGUCAACAUGACACUAAGGUCAUGCACUGUCUUCAUGAUGUUGUAAUGACCAUUCAGAUCUGAUAGCUUUUCAGAAAGGGAAGGGCUUUGAUGCCACGGCGAAUUCUGGCGUGACGCCGUGACCUUACGUUUGACUGUAACUUCCACUAACAACCUCCGAUCUGCCCGAGACUGAACAUGGCAAUCAACAAUCAUGCCCUUUAUUCAACGAGGCACACACCGUUGGUGAAAGUUGUGUAAUGUCACCACAGCGCCCCCUACACACCAUUAAAACUGUAAUAACUCCUACAGACGAGGUCGUAACUGCACCAAACUUGCUAUGUGUACUCACACAAUGGCACCCACCACAGUCCUGUGGUAAGUUGUUGAUAUUGCUUUAGCUCCGCCCCCUGACAGAUAUUAGGCCCUUAAUAACACAUGCAUGAUGCAAUUCACACCAAACUGCACACAAAUGACUGUCAUCAACCUACAAACUUCUUCAUGGAAUAAUUCUUAAAUUUGGGACAGCGCCCCCUAGAUACAAAAAACCUUUGUAACUUCUGCAAAAAAGUUCCAAACUACAUCAAACAUUGUGGGAGUCAUCACACAUCUGCAAUCAACACAUGUAUGUGAUCACUUGUUCAAUUCACUUUAACUCCACCCACUUACAGCUUUUUGUCUCUAGAUGACCCAUGCAACGUUUGAUUGAUUCCAAAUUAACAGAAAACCAUCUUUGAUGACCAAAGAUGACCUCUAUGGCAUUUACUUGUAAAUGGUCACAACGCCCCCUAGAUGGGUUCAAACUUUAUUAACUUCUAAAGUCAAAGUCAGAAUGGCAUUAUACUUGGCUUGUGACAUCACGUGACUGCACCAAACACAUUGAUGUGGUUGUUGAUUCAAAUCCCUGUAGCUCCGCCCCUUUCAGCUCACUGGCUUUAGAUAACACACACAACGUCCGUUUGAUGCCAAAAUAACAGAAAACUGUCCUUGUCAACCAAAGCUGACCUCAAUGGGAUUUUUCUGUAAUUGAUCACAGCGCCCCCUAGAUAACUUUAACUUUCGAAAACUUUAAUAAAUAUGGGCAAAAAAGCACUAAAGUUGGUCUGUGUCAUCACACCAACAGUGUGCUAAAGAUAAAGUAUGCCCUAGUGGUGAGACAUGUAAUAUAAUGGUAGGCUCGGAGGGGAUGCUGAUUCAGGGUGAGGUGUGGAUGAGGUGACUGUUAGCUUUUCUUGGUGUCAGGGUGGUGGACGUUUCAGUCCGUGGACGUGCCCUGGUGCCCCGUGCUGCCGGCCAGGACGGAGCGGCGGGGAGUUGGGUUUGGAGAGCAUCGGGGAUGGAGCGGAGGGGGUGCGGAAGGAGGGUGAGCAUCUUCGCUGCGAGGGCCGAACGACGCUGCUUGCAGCUUUAAUUAUUAUUUUUAUUUAUUAUUCCGGUGCCGCUUUGAAUGGCUUUUUGGGGACCUUAACAUACCCCAAAACUCACAAUAUUUUGCAUACUUGUCAGGCCUGGUGAAAAAUUUGAUAUUUUAAAGGUCCCAAAAAAAUCGCAAAGAAAUUGGCUGAACAGCGCCCCCUAGAAAAUGAAAAAAAACCCUCUCCAUAAAGCUUAGUUUAUCGUACCGUUAUGAAAUUUGGUACACUUAUAGUACUCAAUAGUCCGCACAGAAAAGUCUCUUGCAAGCAUGGUCAAUAUCAAACAGGAAGUCGGCCAUUUUGGGUUGAAAUGGCGAUUUUUUGCCGUUUUGGCCGUUUUUAGGGUCCGUUUCUGAUUGGAUUGCUCGAUCAUUUUUUGCACGAUCAUCUCAAAAAUUCUGUAAAAUUGCUCAGAAGAGAUGGGCGAACAAAAUGAGACAAUAAAAUUGACUUUUCGUAAAUACUGAAGGGGCGGGGCCAGGCCUCGAAGUUUGACUACUCGCCAAAAAUUUUUAAAUUGCUAUAACUUCAUAACUGAAUGGAAUAGAGUUACCAAACUUUCUGUGGUCAUUCGUCAUCACCUCACAAAGUAAAUUGAAUGGUCGCAUGAUGACAUCACACAAGCCCCGCCCCCUCAGGACCAAAAAGGUUAAGUUUUACUGUGAAAGGUCCCAAAUUGCCCCAUUUCACUAAAUCACCACAAAUUUGUAGCUGGUAACUCAAGACAAGUGGGGGUUGCUUGGUGUCACAUUAUGUGAGUUUUCGGCAGAGGGCGGGGCUGUGGCGGCGCGGCGAAGUCAGGCGUACCGCCGUGGCCUUACGUUUGCCUCCCAUUUCGUCAUUUCUAAAGAUAUCAUCACGAAACUUCUUGUGAGUGAUCCUAGU